GAGUUUGAUCCUGGCUCAGGACGAACGCUGGCGGCGUGCCUAACACAUGCAAGUCGAGCGAGGAAGCCCCUUCGGGUGUGGAAUAGCGGCGGACGGGUGAGUAACACGUGGGUAACCUGCCUCAAAGAGGGGGAUAGCCUCCCGAAAGGGAGAUUAAUACCGCAUAGAAGGUAAAAAUCGCAUGAUAAAUGCCUUAAAGGAGCAAUCCGCUUUGAGAUGGGCCCGCGUCGCAUUAGCUAGUUGGAGGGAUAAAAGCCCCCCAAGGCGACGAUGCGUAGCCGACCUGAGAGGGUGAACGGCCACAUUGGAACUGAGAUACGGUCCUGACUCCUACGGGAGGCAGCAGUGGGGAAUAUUGCACAAUGGGGGAAACCCUGAUGCAGCAGCGCCGCGUGAGUGAAGAAGGUUUUCGGAUCGUAAAGCUCUGUCAUCCGGGACGAUAAUGACGGUACCGGAAGAGGAAGCCACGGCUAACUACGUGCCAGCAGCCGCGGUAAUAC
rnacentral:rRNA from 1 species